rnacentral:rRNA from 1 species
UACGUAGGGAGCGAGCGUUGUCCGGAAUUACUGGGUGUAAAGGGUGCGUAGGCGGGAAGGCAAGUCAGCAGUGAAAUUUAUGGGCUUAACUCAUAACGUGCUGUUGAAACUGUUUUUCUUGAGUGAGUCAGAGGCAGGCGGAAUUCCCGGUGUAGCGGUGAAAUGCAUAGAGAUCGGGAGGAACACCAGUGGCGAAGGCGGCCUGCUGGGGCUUAACUGACGCUGAGGCACGAAAGCGUGGGGAGCAAAC